rnacentral:rRNA from 1 species
CCUACGGGGGGCUGCAGUGGGGAAUAUUGGACAAUGGGGGGAACCCUGAUCCAGCCAUGCCGCGUGUGUGAAGAAGGCCCUCGGGUUGUAAAGCACUUUCAGUGAGGAAGAACGCCUGGUGGUUAAUACCCAUCAGGAAAGACAUCACUCACAGAAGAAGCACCGGCUAACUCCGUGCCAGCAGCCGCGGUAAUACGGAGGGUGCGAGCGUUAAUCGGAAUUACUGGGCGUAAAGCGCGCGUAGGUGGCUUGAUAAGCCGGUUGUGAAAGCCCCGGGCUCAACCUGGGAACGGCAUCCGGAACUGUCAAGCUAGAGUGCAGGAGAGGAAGGUAGAAUUCCCGGUGUAGCGGUGAAAUGCGUAGAGAUCGGGAGGAAUACCAGUGGCGAAGGCGGCCUUCUGGACUGACACUGACACUGAGGUGCGAAAGUGUGGGUAGCAAACAGGAUUAGAUACCCUAGUAGUC